CGGGGUGCAGCAGGCGCGAAAACUCCACAAUGUACGGAAGUACGAUGGGGUUAUCUCGAGUGCAGUCCGAUAAGGGCUGCUUUUCCAUAGAGUAAUAUCCUGUGGGAAUAAGAGGGGGGCAAGACUGGUGUCAGCCGCCGCGGUAACACCAGCCCCUCGAGUGGUGGGGACUAUUAUUUGGCCUAAAGCGUCCGUAGCUGGCUGUAUCCGUCCCCCGUUAAAUCCAGCGUCCUAAGCGUUGGACUGCGGGUGAUACCAUACAGCUAGAGGGUGGGAUAGGUGAGCGGUAUUUCUGGGGUAGGGGCGAAAUCCUUUGAUCCCAGGAGGACCACCAGUGGCGAAGGCUGCUCACUAGAACACGCCUGACGGUCAGGGACGAAAGCUGGGGCAGCGAACCGGAUUAGAUACCCGGGUAGUCCCAGCUGUAAACGAUGCUAGCUAGGUGUUGGGUCGGCCACGUGCCGCCCCAGUGCCGCAGGGAAGCCGUUAAGCUAGCCGCCUGGGGAGUACGGCCGCAAGGCUGAAACUUAAAGGAAUUGGCGGGGGAGCACAAGGGCGAAUCGC
rnacentral:rRNA from 1 species